UGGGGAAUAUUGCACAAUGGGGGAAACCCGUGAUGCAGCGACGCCGCGUGAGCGAAGAAGUAUUUCGGUAUGUAAAGCUCUAUCAGCAGGGAAGAAAUUGACGGUACCUGAGUAAGAAGCUCCGGCUAAAUACGUGCC
rnacentral:rRNA from 1 species